rnacentral:rRNA from 1 species
AACGAACGCUGGCGGCAGGCUUAACACAUGCAAGUCGAACGCCCCUUUCGGGGGGAGUGGCGGACGGGUGAGUAACGCGUGGGAACGUGCCCUCUGGUUCGGAACAACCCCGGGAAACUGGGGCUAAGACCGGAUACGCCCUUUUGGGGAAAGGCUUGCUGCCGGAGGAGCGGCCCGCGUCCGAUUAGCUUGUUGGCGGGGUAACGGCCCACCAAGGCAUCGAUCGGUAGCUGGUCUGAGAGGAUGGCCAGCCACAUUGGGACUGAGACACGGCCCA